UACAGAGGGUGCAAGCGUUAAUCGGAAUCACUGGGCGUAAAGCGCACGUAGGCGGCUUCUUAAGUCAGGGGUGAAAUCCUGGAGCUCAACUCCAGAACUGCCUUUGAUACUGAGGAGCUUGAGUCCGGGAGAGGUGAGUGGAACUGCGAGUGUAGAGGUGAAAUUCGUAGAUAUUCGCAAGAACACCAGUGGCGAAGGCGGCUCACUGGCCCGGUACUGACGCUGAGGUGCGAAAGCGUGGGGAGCAAACAGG
rnacentral:rRNA from 1 species